rnacentral:rRNA from 1 species
UCCGUAGGCGGUGCGGCAAGUCGGGAGUGAAAUCUCUGGGCUUAACUCAGAGGCUGCUUCCGAAACUGCCGUGCUCGAGUGUGAGAGAGGCGAGUGGAAUUGCGGGUGUAGCGGUGAAAUGCGUAGAUAUCCGCAGGAACAUCCGAGGCGAAAGCGGCUCGCUGGAUCACAACUGACGCUGAGGGACGAAAGCUAGGAGAGCAAACAGGAUUAGAUACCCUGGUAGUCCUAGCCCUAAACCAUCAGGACUUGGGGUUUGCCCUGUACGGGGCAAGUCCCGGAGCUAACGCGUUAAGUCCUGCGCCUGGGGAGUACGGUCGCAAGGCUGAA